GACGAACGCUGGCGGCGUGCUUAACACAUGCAAGUCGAGCGGUAAGGCCCUUUCGGGGUACACGAGCGGCGAACGGGUGAGUAACACGUGGGUGACCUGCCCUCAGCUCUGGGAUAAGCCUGGGAAACCGGGUCUAAUACCGGAUAUGACUCCAUGACGCAUGUUGUGGGGUGGAAAGCCUUGUGCGGCUGAGGAUGGGCCCGCGGCCUAUCAGCUUGUUGGUGGGGUGAUGGCCUACCAAGGCGACGACGGGUAGCCGGCCUGAGAGGGCGACCGGCCACACUGGGACUGGGACACGGCCCAGACUCCUACGGGAGGCAGCAGUGGGGAAUCUUGCGCAAUGGGCGAACGCCUGACGCAGCGACGCCGCGUGAGGGAUGACGGCCUGUGU
rnacentral:rRNA from 1 species